rnacentral:misc_RNA from 1 species
UGGUUCUCGCAUCGAUGAAGAACGCAGCGAAAUGCGAUAAGUAAUGUGAAUUGCAGAAUUCAGUGAAUCAUCGAAUCUUUGAACGCACCUUGCGCUCCUUGGUAUUCCGAGGAGCAUGCCUGUUUGAGUGUCGUGAAAUUAUCAACUCCCUUUCUUUAUUGAAAGGUGAAGCUUGGACUUUGGGGACUUGCUGGUUUCAAUCAGCUUCCCUUGAAUGCAUUAGCUGGACUUUGAUUUGCAGCAUAUAUGCGGUGUGAUAAUGUCGUCACUGUGUAGCUCAAGUUGUUUGGCUUCUAACCUUUGUCCUUUCACGAGGACAGCUCGAUCAAUUAGACCUCAAAUCAGGUAGGACUACCCGCUGA